AUUGAACGCUGGCGGCAGGCCUAACACAUGCAAGUCGAGCGGAUGAAGGGAGCUUGCUCCUGGAUUCAGCGGCGGACGGGUGAGUAAUGCCUAGGAAUCUGCCUGGUAGUGGGGGAUAACGUCCGGAAACGGGCGCUAAUACCGCAUACGUCCUGAGGGAGAAAGUGGGGGAUCUUCGGACCUCACGCUAUCAGAUGAGCCUAGGUCGGAUUAGCUAGUUGGUGGGGUAAAGGCCUACCAAGGCGACGAUCCGUAACUGGUCUGAGAGGAUGAUCAGUCACACUGGAACUGAGACACGGUCCAGACUCCUACGGGAGGCAGCAGUGGGGAAUAUUGGACAAUGGGCGAAAGCCUGAUCCAGCCACGCCGCGUGUGUGAAGAAGGUCUUCGGAUUGUAAAGAACUUUAAGUUGGGAGGAAGGGCAGUAAGUUAAUACCUUGCUGUUUUGACGUUACCAACAGAAUAAGCACCGGCUAACUUCGUG
rnacentral:rRNA from 1 species